rnacentral:rRNA from 1 species
UGGGGAAUAUUGCACAAUGGGCGCAAGCCUGACGCAGCAACGCCGCGUGGGUGAUGAAGGCCUUCGGGUCGUAAAGCCCUGUCAGGUGGGAAGAAUGUCCCUGGGGUGAACAGCUUUGGGGAGUGACGGUACCACCAGAGGAAGCACCGGCUAACUCCGUGCCAGCAGCCGCGGUAAUACGGAGGGUGCAAGCGUUAUUCGGAAUUACUGGGCGUAAAGCGUGUGUAGGCGGUUUGACAAGUUGGAUGUGAAAGCUCCUGGCUUAACUGGGAGAGGUCGUUCAAAACUGUCAGACUUGAGAGUGGUAGAGGGAGGUGGAAUUCCGGGUGUAGUGGUGAAAUGCGUAGAUAUCCGGAGGAACACCAGUGGCGAAAGCGGCCUCCUGGCCCAUUUCUGACGCUCAGACACGAAAGCUAAGGUAGCAAACG